UACGUAGGGUGCGAGCGUUGCCCGGAUUUAUUGGGCGUAAAGGGCGCGUAGGCGGCUCGGCACGUCCGUUGUGAAAUCGCCCGGCUCAACUGGGCGGGGUCGGCGGAUACGGCCAAGCUGGAGCAAGCUAGGGGGUAAUGGAAUUCCCGGUGUAGUGGUGGAAUGCGUAGAUAUCGGGAGGAACACCAGUGGCGAAGGCGGUUACCUGGAGCUUUGCUGACGCUGAUGCGCGAAAGCGUGGGGAGCGAUCCGG
rnacentral:rRNA from 1 species